rnacentral:rRNA from 1 species
CUCCUGGGGGAGGCAGCAGUGGGGAAUGUUGGACAAUGGGGGCAACCCUGAUCCAGCAAUGCCGCGUGUGUGAAGAAGGCCUUCGGGUUGUAAAGCUCUUUUGUUCGGGAAGAAAUCCCUUUGGUUAAUACCCGGGGGUGAUGACGGUACCGGAAGAAUAAGCACCGGCUAACUACGUGCCAGCAGCCGCGGUAAUACGUAGGGUGCAAGCGUUAAUCGGAAUUACUGGGCGUAAAGCGUGCGCAGGCGGUUGUGCAAGUCAGAUGUGAAAUCCCCGGGCUUAACCUGGGAACUGCAUUUGAGACUGCAGGGCUAGAGUGUGUCAGAGGGGGGUAGAAUUCCACGUGUAGCAGUGAAAUGCGUAGAUAUGUGGAGGAACACCGAUGGCGAAGGCAGCCCCCUGGGAUAACACUGACGCUCAUGCACCAAAGCGUGGGGAGCAAACAGGAUUAGAUACCCUGGUAGUCCACGCCCUAAACGAUGUCAACUAGUUGUCGGGUCUUAAUUGACUUGGUAACGCAGCUAACGCGUGAAGUUGACCGCCUGGGGAGUACGGUCGCA